GUGCUCGCUUCAGCCGCACAUAAACGAAAAUUGAAACGGCACAGAGAAGAUUAGCAUGGCCCCUGCACAGGACGGCACACAAAUUCGUGAAGCGUUGCAUAUUUUU
rnacentral:snRNA from 1 species